rnacentral:rRNA from 1 species
UGGGGAAUAUUGCGCAAUGGGGGCAACCCUGACGCAGCAACGCCGCGUGCGGGACGACGGCCUUCGGGUUGUAAACCGCUUUCAGCAGGGAAGAUAGUGACGGUACCUGCACAAGAAGCCCCGGCUAACUACGUGCCAGCAGCCGCUGUAAUACGUAGGGGGCGAGCGUUAUCCGGAAUUAUUGGGCUUAAAGGGCAUCUAGGCGGUAAGACAAGUUGAAGGUGAAAACCUGUGGCUCAACCAUAGGCUUGCCUACAAAACUGUUGAACUAGAGUACUGGAAAGGUGGGUGGAACUACACGAGUAGAGGUGAAAUUCGUAGAUAUGUGUAGGAAUGCCGAUGAUGAAGAUAACUCACUGGACAGAAACUGACGCUGAAGUGCGAAAGCUAGGGGAGCAAACAGG